UACGUAGGGGGCAAGCGUUGUUCGGAAUUACUGGGCGUAAAGGGCUCGUAGGCGGCCAACUAAGUCGGACGUGAAAUCCCUCAGCUUAACUGGGGAACUGCGUCCGAUACUGGAUGGCUUGGAUUUGGGAGAGGGAUGCGGAAUUCCAGGUGUAGCGGUGAAAUGCGUAGAUAUCUGGAGGAACACCGGUGGCGAAGGCGGCAUCCUGGACCAAUAUUGACGCUGAGGAGCGAAAGCCAGGGGAGCAAACGGG
rnacentral:rRNA from 1 species